rnacentral:tRNA from 1 species
GUCGCUAUAGUGUAAUGGUAGCAUACGGGCUUGUGGAGCCUUUGGUCAGGGUUCAAAUCCCUGUAGCGACC